UACGGAGGGGGCUAGCGUUGUUCGGAUUUACUGGGCGUAAAGGGCGCGUAGGCGGCUUAGUAAGUUGAAAGUGAAAUCCCAGGGCUUAACCCUGGAAUUGCUUUCAAAACUGCUUUGCUAGAGAGUGGUAGAGGAUGGUAGAAUUCCUAGUGUAGAGGUGAAAUUCUUAGAUAUUAGGAGGAAUACCGGUGGCGAAGGCGACCAUCUGGGCCAUUUCUGACGCUGAGGCGCGAAAGCGUGGGGAGCAAACAGG
rnacentral:rRNA from 1 species